CCCCUAGACGUUCUGGACUGCACGCGCGCUACAAUAAUACGCACAGCGAGUAUCACCGAGCUCGAAAGGGCAAGGUAAACAAUAGAAAAGGUACUGUAAUGGUUAUAGAUCCUUGUAAUUAUUGAUCUUCAACGAGGAAUUCCUAGUAAGUAUGUGUCAUCAUCACGCACUGAUUACGUCCCUGCCCUUUGUACACACCGCCCGUCGCUCCUACCGAUUGGGUGAGCCGAUGAAACUCUCGGAUGUAGGCUAUUCAUAGCCCGCAGAAGAGAUUUGAAUCGUAGCGCUUAGAGGAAGGAGAAGUCGUAACA
rnacentral:rRNA from 1 species